GCUGGCAGAGACUUCUCUGAUGAGAAAAUGAUAAGUGUUUUCAAAUGCUGUUCUGGUUAAAAGAAAGCUGAUCCAAGGACUCUACUGCAAAUCAUCUCUUUGGGGUGUUGACUGUCAAGAAAGGUAUUUUUCUGUGCCUUCCUUGCCCUGCCUCUCAGAUGACACCUGUUUCCUGGUGGCAUUUCUUCUAACUUGAGUUAGAUUCACAAUUUCUCAAGCUGCUGGAAGGAUCCUACGAUCAACUUUUCCUGGGGAGACAUGAACAAAUGCCUACUCACUCCAGAUUGGGCACCAUCAAGAAACCAAAUGAAUGACUGUACCCAAGUCUAGCUUAGUGAAGCAAUGCAUUUUUUUGCACUUGUUCCCAGGAAUAUGGAGUUAGUGAGCACCUUGCAGACACACAGGAUGUACUUCUCCAAGAUGGUGCAAUGGAGCAGAAACAGCUCAUGUCCCUAAUAAGAAGCCACGAGGGACCUCAUUGCUUAUUGAAGAGUCUUGCAGCAUACUUUGUUCGUUGGUCUUUUCUUAAUGGUUGGCUAUUUCUCCUCCAAUUCAAGAACAUUGCAACUAUUAGGUACCAUUCAGAGUCAAUGCGGACCUGAACACACAACUGGCCACGGAGGGAGGCCCUUCAUAAACAGAUCUUGCUGAGUUUAAUCAGAAUCUGCCUCAUGCACAUAGACACAGAUCCUCUUAGAGAUGAAAAGAACAUUAAAAUCUAACAGAACAAAGACCGUGACCACCCCAGACACACAUCCCACAACUCCAAGCUAUGUGUGUCCAGAAGAGAAACAAAACAAAAUUUAUGGCUUUUGCUCUAGUAAUUCCUGCCACCCACUGAUCUAAGUCAUUCUUGAACACGAUUAUGAGUGUUUUCAUACAUAUGUGAUGCAUUGAGUAACUGAAUGGAUCCCAUCUGGGAGAUAUAUAAAGUGGACACUGAAGUGACUCAUCAGGCAGCUGCAGAGAAUACACAGAUGAGAAUGGCAGGGAACUCCACCAUGAAGAUGCUGAGCAUCAUCCACACCAUUUCCAGAAGAUGGAAAAAGCCACAUGACUGUGGAACAGC
rnacentral:lncRNA from 1 species